CGCUCGACAUCAGAGUUUGAUCCUGGCUCAGGAUGAACGCUGACAGAAUGCUUAACACAUGCAAGUCUAUUCGAGCCUUCGGGCAAGGAUGGCGGACGGGUGAGUAACGCGUAAAGAACUUGCCCUGCAGUUCGGGACAACAUUCGGAAACGGAUGCUAAUACCGGAUAUUAUGCUCUGGUCGCAUGGCCAGUGCAUGAAAGCUAUAUGCGCUGCAGGAGAGCUUUGCGUCCUAUUAGCUUGUUGGUGAGGUAACGGCUCACCAAGGCUGUGAUAGGUAGCCGGCCUGAGAGGGUGAACGGCCACAAGGGGACUGAGACACGGCCCUU
rnacentral:rRNA from 1 species